UUUUCUACACUACGAACAGAGUACAUUUGGUAGCAUUUUUUACGAAUUCCUUCUGUGGUAUAAAACACUUCCAUUGAAAUUAAAUAGUUCAGUCAUCAGUAGAUUAUACAACAAGAGUUGCGAGAAGGCGUGAUAGCUAACUUGCAUAAAGUAUAAACUAAUUUUGCAUAGAUCAAUUGCACAAUUACAUUCAAUCGCAGACAACAUUAUUCUUCAAAGAAAACUGUAUCCAAUGUCACCAUUACUCAAGUACACAAGCUCAAGGAAGUUUAAAUUAAUCACUCAACUUGCAAAUAUCAACGAACUUCUGUACUGCAUUAUGGUACUGGGUUCCCUGGAAUAUAGGACAGGCACAACAUGUUCAUAUGUUAGAAAAUCUAGAAUGCCAUAAUAAUAAAUCAGAGUAGAAUAAAUUUAUUUUUCUCUUUUCCUCUUUUGCAGUCAAACAAAUAAUUUUGAAACAUAUAAGAGGUCAACCAUAAAUGAAAAGGGAGAAUUUGAUUGGCUUACCGGAAGGAAAAAACAACUAUAAUAAUUGGUUUCCGUUAGAUUAAGGAAGCUUAUUUGAAUUUAUCUUAUGACAUAAACACUUGAUAAGGCGAUGAUAAAAUAGCAACUUGCAAACAAAUUGAACUUGUAAGCACUACCUCCCAAUAA
rnacentral:lncRNA from 1 species